rnacentral:rRNA from 1 species
AGCAGCCGCGGUAAUUCCAGCUCCAAUAGCGUAUAUUAAAGUUGUUGCAGUUAAAAAGCUCGUAGUUGAAUUUCGGGGUUAGCAGGUCGGUCGUGCCAUCGGUAUGAACUGGUCUCGCUGAUCCCUCCCUCUUGACGAACUGUGAUGCCAUUAAUUUGGUGUCGCAGGGAAUCAGGACUGUUACUUUGAAAAAUUAGAGUGUUUAAAGCAGGCUCACGCUUGAAUACAUUAGCAUGGAAUAAUGAAAUAGGACGUUUGAUCCUGUUUUGUUGGUUUCUAGGAUUGACGUAAUGAUUAAUAGGGAUAGUUGGGGCAUUAGUAUUCAAUUGUCAGAGGUGAAAUUCUUGGAUUUAUUGAAGACUAACUACUGCGAAAGCAUUUGCCAAG